ACAUGCCUGUAAUCCCAGUAGCUUGGGAGUCUGAGGCAGUCAGAUUCAGAGUUUAAGGCCAGCCUUAGCAACCUAGGGAGACCCUAUCUCAAAAUAAAAAAAUGAAAAGGGCUGGGGUGUGACUCAGUGGUUAAACUCCCCUGGGUUCAAUCUCUAGUAUCAAUCAAUCUAUAAAUAAAUAAAUACGCACUCAAUAAACUCUGUUUCAUGGAAUCAUGGUGAAAAGGACUCAAAGCAAUUUCUGCCACAAAGUGAUUGCUCCAUCAAGGUUUGUCAUGAUCUUGUCACUGUCAGAUGGGGGCACUUACCUGUCUUUUCAGGUUUUAGAGCUUUGGAGUUGGAAAUGAAAUGGCUGACUACCAGUUGACCCAGACACCGUGGUAGAGUUCAGUGACUGCCAAAGCUCUUUGGCCAUGACAGUCUGUGUC
rnacentral:lncRNA from 1 species